AACGAACGCUGGCGGCGUGCCUAACACAUGCAAGUCGAACGGGGAUAAGUAGCUUGCUAUUUAUUCUAGUGGCGCACGGGUGAGUAACGCGUAGAUAAUCUGCCUUAGACUCUGGGAUAACAUCUCGAAAGGGGUGCUAAUACCGGAUAAGCCCACGGGGACGUGAGUUCUUGCGGGAAAAGGGGGCCUCUGCAUAUGCUCUUGAUCUAAGAUGAGUCUGCGUACCAUUAGCUUGUUGGUAGGGUAAUGGCCUAUCAAGGCGACGAUGGUUAGCUGGUCUGAGAGGAUGAUCAGCCACACUGGGACUGAGACACGGCCCAGACUCCUACGGGAGGCAGCAGUGGGGAAUUUUGCGCAAUGGGGGAAACCCUGACGCAGCAACGCCGCGUGAGUGAUGAAGGCUUUCGGGUCGUAAAGCUCUGUCUAGAGGGAAGAAGUGAUUAGUGGUUAAUACCCAUUAUUCUUGACGGUACCUCUGAAGGAAGCACCGGCUAACUCCGUGCCAGCCGCCGCGGUAAGAC
rnacentral:rRNA from 1 species